rnacentral:piRNA from 1 species
UGCUCUUUUGACCUGUUGGAUGGGAGU